AGCGGCGCUACUUCCGGACACGUGAUCCACCGCGAGGCCGUAAAGACGGGAAGAGCGGCGCGGCGCGAUUAUGAGCACAGAUGUUUCGUUUCUGACAAAUAAUGCACCACACGACACACAUGAGUCGUUUGUGUCCCGGGUCCACGCCGUUGUCCUUCCCUCCCUGCGGCUGAGCAGGCGGCGCGGGGCGAUGACAUGUCUCCCGCUCAGAGAGACGUGAGCGAGACAUCGCCAACGACACCUGGCAGGAAGCGGAGAGACGGCUUGAAUACGAUCAGCGUCCCUCUGGCUCUAAGAUCUGACCUGGAAGCAGCCGCUGGACGCACCUGAGACUCCUGCAGCAGAGACACGUCUCCAACGGCUGAGAGGACCUCAUGGGCCUGCAGGAAGUAUUCACACGCCGUGGUGUACUGGCUCUACGGGGGGAGACAGAAACAUACACAUUCAUACACUUCUAUGUAUGUAUGUGUAUAUAUAUAUAUAUAUAUAUAUAUGUAUAUUCAUACACUUCUAGUUACAUCACAUAUAUAUAUAUUGAUAUUAUAUAUAUGGUCAACAUGAUAUUCCUUUUUUACACAAUGUACAAAAAUAUGAGUCUUUCCAACAGAAAUAUAACAAAGACAAAUAUGUAUUAGCACGAGUAAAUAUUGUAUUGGAAAUAAAUAUAUAACUAAUGUACAGAAAAACAGACAUUGACGGAAAAAAACAAUUUUUAGCUGUGACAUUUCAACAUGAAACCAAUGUGUAACUAUUGAGUAACAGCUUCAAUGAUUAAUGUGUGUGUGUGUGUGUGUGUGUGUGUGUGUGUGUGCGUGUGUGUGUGUGUGUCGUACCUUCUUGAAGUAGACGUGACCCAGACACAUGAGGCUGUCUGCCAGGGCGUGUUCCCGCCCGCUGCCUCGAGAGAUGACGACCAACUUCUCCAGUAACUGGAGUCCUUCAUAGAUGCAGCCAUAGCCUUGUAGGACUUCCCCAGCCAGUCUGCAUCCUGCAGCUCGUCACUGAUCUGGAUGCAGGAGUUGAAGAACUGGACACACACACACACACACACACACACACACACAGGAAGUCGUGUUAAACUGCAUAAAAGAAUAAUAAAUAAUCUUACAGGAAAAGAACAACAAUGUACCCGGUAACAAGGGUUGUGUGUGUAUCACCAUGAACACACACAGACACACACACACCUUCUUGGCCUGGUCGUGGUCUCCUGCGCUCUGAUAGGUCAGGCCCAGUCGAUAGGAGGCUUCUGAUUCGCUGCGUUUGUCUUCAGCUGAAACACAUUCGCAGUAAACGAACAAACAUCAGGACAUUUAUUAAAGUAAAAGUACACUAAAGUAUUUCACUGUGUUCUUAUACUUUUAGAGUUUCAUUCAAAUGACAUUAAAUAAAAUGUAAGUUUAUUGAAAUACUAUUUCUAAUACUUCAGGAGUUUAUAAAGAGUGUUUUUUUAUAAGUGAAGUUUUCGCUGGAAUCUGAAUUUCGAAUACUUCCAGUAGUAUUCUAGUGGGGUGAAAGUAUACGUAAUACACCAUUUUAAUAAAGUAGACUAGGUGUUUUUGGUACUUACAGAUUGUGUAUCAAGCAGUGAAAAGUAGACUAAAUGGAAAAUACUUCAGUGCGGUAACAGUUACUUCAGAGUUGUUCCCUGCAAAUACACGUACUUUAUCUAGUAUUUUAAUAUUGGUAUGUGAAAUGUAAGUGGAAUGUUUACUUGAAUGAAACACUCGUAGUACACGUAUACUCGCGUGUACUCCCGUGUCCUUGGACCCACACUCAGCAGCGGCUCUGAGGCCCUCGUGCAGCAGCCGCAGGGCCUCGGCGGGCUGCGCCGCGUCCGCCAGCCGGCUGCAG